rnacentral:rRNA from 1 species
UUGCACGCUGGCGGAAUGCUUUACACAUGCCAGUCGAGCGGCAGCACGGGGGCAACCCUGGUGGCGAGCGGCGAACGGGUGAGUAAUACAUCGGAACAUGCCCAGUCGUGGGGGAUAACACUUCGAAAGAAGUGCUAAUACCGCAUACGUCCUGAGGGGGAAAGCGGGGGAUCGCAAGACCUCGCGCGAUUGGAGUGGCCGAUGUCAGAUUAGCUAGUUGGUGGGGUAAAGGCCUACCAAGGCAACGAUCUGUAGCUGGUCUGAGAGGAUGAUCAGCCACACUGGGACUGAGACACGGCCCAGACUCCUACGGGAGGCAGCAGUGGGGAAUUUUGGACAAUGGGGGCAACCCUGAUCCAGCCAUUCCGCGUGAGUGAAGAAGGCCUUCGGGUUGUAAAGCUCUUUCGGCAGGAACGAAACGGUGAGCUCUAACAUAGCUUGCUAAUGACGGUACCUGAAGAAGAAGCACCGGCUAACUACGUG